UAGGGAAUCUUCCGCAAUGGACGAAAGUCUGACGGAGCAACGCCGCGUGAGUGAUGAAGGUUUUCGGAUCGUAAAACUCUGUUGUUAGGGAAGAACAAGUACCGGAGUAACUGCCGGUACCUUGACGGUACCUAACCAGAAAGCCACGGCUAACUACGUGCCAGCAGCCGCGGUAAUACGUAGGUGGCAAGCGUUGUCCGGAAUUAUUGGGCGUAAAGCGCGCGCAGGCGGUCUUUUAAGUCUGAUGUGAAAGCCCCCGGCUCAACCGGGGAGGGUCAUUGGAAACUGGGAGACUUGAGUGCAGAAGAGAAGAGCGGAAUUCCACGUGUAGCGGUGAAAUGCGUAGAGAUGUGGAGGAACACCAGUGGCGAAGGCGGCUCUUUGGUCUGUAACUGACGCUGAGGCGCGAAAGCGUGGGGAGCAAACAG
rnacentral:rRNA from 1 species